GGAUCAGCAUGCCGCGGUGAAUACGUUCCCGGGCCUUGUACACACCGCCCGUCACACCACGAGAGCUUGCAACACCCGAAGUCGGUGAGGUAACCCGCAAGGGAGCCAGCCGCCGAAGGUGGGGCAAGUGAUUGGGGUGAAGUCGUAACAAGGUAGCCGUACCGGAAGGUGCGGCUGGAUCACCUCCUUUCUAAGGA
rnacentral:rRNA from 1 species